CCCUUUGGGUGUGACUGCGUACCUUUUGUAUAAUGGGUCAGCGACUUAUAUUCUGUAGCAAGGUUAACCGAAUAGGGGAGCCGGAGGGAAACCGAGUCUUAAUUGGGCGUUAAGUUGCAGGGUAUAGACCCGAAACCCGGUGAUCUAGCCAUGGGCAGGUUGAAGGUUGGGUAACACUAACUGGAGGACCGAACCGACUAAUGUUGAAAAAUUAGCGGAUGACCUGUGGCUGGGGGUGAAAGGCCAAUCAAACCGGGAGAUAGCUGGUUCUCCCCGAAAGCUAUUUAGGUAGCGCCUCGUGAAUUCAUCUCCGGGGGUAGAGCACUGUUUCGGCUAGGGGGCCAUCCCGGCUUACCAACCCGAUGCAAACUGCGAAUACCGGAGAAUGUUAUCACGGGAGACACACGGCGGGUGCUAACGUCCGUCGUGAAGAGGGAAACAACCCAGACCGCCAGCUAAGGUCCCAAAGUCAUGGUUAAGUGGGAAACGAUGUGGGAAGGCCCAGACAGCCAGGAUGUUGGCUUAGAAGCAGCCAUCAUUUAAAGAAAGCGUAAUAGCUCACUGGUCGAGUCGGCCUGCGCGGAAGAUGUAACGGGGCUAAACCAUGCACCGAAGCUGCGGCAGCGACACUGUGUGUUGUUGGGUAGGGGAGCGUUCUGUAAGCCUGUGAAGGUGUGUCGUGAGGCAUGCUGGAGGUAUCAGAAGUGCGAAUGCUGACAUAAGUAACGAUAAAGCGGGUGAAAAGCCCGCUCGCCGGAAGACCAAGGGUUCCUGUCCAACGUUAAUCGGGGCAGGGUGAGUCGACCCCUAAGGCGAGGCCGAAAGGCGUAGUCGAUGGGAAACGGGUUAAUAUUCCCGUACUUGGUGUUACUGCGAAGGGGGGACGGAGAAGGCUAUGUUGGCCGGGCGACGGUUGUC
rnacentral:rRNA from 1 species